rnacentral:rRNA from 1 species
UACGUAGGCAGCAAGCGUUGUUCGGAAUUACUGGGCGUAAAGAGUGUGUAGGCGGUGCUCUAAGUUCGGUGUGAAAUCUCCCGGCUCAACUGGGAGGGUGCGCCGAAAACUGGAGUGCUGGAGCGCGGGAGAGGAAAGCGGAAUUCCUGGUGUAGCGGUGAAAUGCGUAGAUAUCAGGAGGAACACCGAUGGCGAAGGCGGGUCUCUGGGCCGAUACUGACGCUGAGGAGCGAAAGCGUGGGGAGCGAACAGG